rnacentral:rRNA from 1 species
CCUACGGGAGGCUGCAGUUAGGAAUAUUGGGCAAUGGAGGAAACUCUGACCCAGCAACGCCGCGUGAAGGAAGAAGGUUUUCGGAUUGUAAACUUCUGAUCUGUGGGACGAAGAAAGUGACGGUACCACAGGAGAACGCCACGGCUAACUCCGUGCCAGCAGCCGCGGUAAUACGGAGGAUUCAAGCGUUAUCCGGAUUUAUUGGGUUUAAAGGGUGCGGAGGCGGUCGGAUAAGUUAGAGGUGAAAUCCCGAGGCUCAACUUCGGAAUUGCCUCUGAUACUGUUCGGCUAGAGAGUAGUUGCGGUAGGCGGAAUGUAUGGUGUAGCGGUGAAAUGCUUAGAGAUCAUACAGAACACCGAUUGCGAAGGCAGCUUACCAAGCUACUUCUGACGUUGAGGCACGAAAGCGUGGGGAGCAAACAGGAUUAGAUACCCCAGUAGUC